UACGGAAGGAGCAAGCGUUGUUCGGAAUUACUGGGCGUAAAGGGCGUGUAGGCGGUUCAGUGAGUCACGGGUGAAAUUCCAAAGCUUAACUUUGGGACUGCCUGUGAUACUGCUAGACUAGAGCACAAAAGAGGAGAGCGGAAUUCCCGGUGUAACGGUGGAAUGUGUAGAUAUCGGGAAGAACACCUGUGGCGAAGGCGGCUCUCUGGUUUGAUGCUGACGCUAAGGCGCGAAAGCGUGGGGAGCAAACAGG
rnacentral:rRNA from 1 species